GACGAACGCUGGCGGCGUGCUUAACACAUGCAAGUCGAACGGAAAGGCCCUGCUUGCAGGGUACUCGAGUGGCGAACGGGUGAGUAACACGUGGGUGAUCUGCCCUGCACUUCGGGAUAAGCCUGGGAAACUGGGUCUAAUACCGGAUAGGAGCCAUUUUUAGUGUGAUGGUUGGAAAGUUUUUUCGGUGUAGGAUGAGCUCGCGGCCUAUCAGCUUGUUGGUGGGGUAAUGGCCUACCAAGGCGGCGACGGGUAGCCGGCCUGAGAGGGUGGACGGCCACAUUGGGACUGAGAUACGGCCCAGACUCCUACGGGAGGCAGCAGUGGGGAAUAUUGCACAAUGGGCGCAAGCCUGAUGCAGCGACGCCGCGUGGGGGAUGACGGCCUUCGGGUUAAACUCCUUUCGCUAGGGACGAAGCUUUUUGUGACGGUACCUAGAUAAGAAGCACCGGCUAACUACGUG
rnacentral:rRNA from 1 species